rnacentral:misc_RNA from 1 species
UGUGGGAGCUGGCUUGCCUGCGAUGCAGACAACUCGGUGUGCCUGAUUUACCGAGGUGUCUGCAUCGCAGGCAAGCCAGCUCCCACA